CCUACGGGAGGCAGCAGUGAGGAAUAUUGGUCAAUGGGCGAGAGCCUGAACCAGCCAAGUCGCGUGCAGGAUGACGGCCCUACGGGUUGUAAACUUCUUUUGUCAGGGAGCAAUUGAGUCCACGUGUGGUCUUAGCGAGAGUACCUGAAGAAAAAGCCUCGGCUAACUCCGUGCCGGCACCCGCGGUAAUACGGAGGAUGCGACCGUUAUCCGGAUUUAUUGGGUUUAAGGGGUGCUUAGGCGGAAUAUCAAGUCAGCGGUAAAACUUCGGGGGUAAACCGCGGCGUGCCGUGGAAACUGGCGUUCUUGAGUGCGCGAGAAGUAUGCGGAAUGCGUGGUGUAGCGGUGAAAUGCAUAGAUAUGACGCAGAACUCCGAUUGCGAAGGCAGCAUACCGGCGCCGAACUGACGCUGAAGCACGAAAGCGUGGGUAUCGAACAGGAUUAGAUACCCGUGUAGUC
rnacentral:rRNA from 1 species